GACAGAGGAGCCAAGCGUUGUCCGGAUUGACUGGGCGUAAAGCGCACGCAGGCGGCCCGGCGCGUGGGGUGUGAAAGCUGGCGGCUUAACUGCCAGACGCCAUCCCAUACGGCUGGGCUCGAGCCCUGCAGAGGUCCAUGGAAUUGCCGGUGUAGUGGUGAAAUGCGUAGAGAUCGGCAGGAACACCCAGGGGGAAACCAGUGGACUGGGCAGGAGCUGACGCUCAGGUGCGAAAGCGUGGGGAGCAAACAGG
rnacentral:rRNA from 1 species